rnacentral:lncRNA from 1 species
UGAACAUUCCAGGCUCUGUGAACUAAGUGACUGAAGCUGAUUGACACAGGUCAAGGGGACUUCAAGGAAGAAAGCCAGCCUUAGACUGACAUCAGAGAACCAAACUCCGGUGUCUAAGCUCAAGCAUCUACAUCUCCAUUUAUGCCGUGUGCACGCAGUACCAACAGAGGUCAGAGGAGGGUGUCGGAUCCCCUGGAACUGGAGUCACAGAUUCUUCCUUGCGUGGAUGAAACAGUCCCAACGAACACUUUAAAAAGACAAAUGUUCCCGACAGCACUGGUUGAAUUCAAAACUCGGCAGAUCCAUGUUCUUAUCCUUAGACAAGAGAGGGGCCAUAACAAGAUGGAAUGACGGAACAGACGUGAGAGAUGAUGGUACAGUGACUCGGGUAACCCCAGAAAAGGGACAGCUCUUCUACAGCUCAGUGGGGACAGGGACAAAAAGAAACAAUUUCAUUUCAGUCCACCCAGAGGGUCUGCACUUCUCGGAGCCAGAAGGUGGAGAAGAGUAGGGAUGGAGGAAGUUCGAAGUUUUAGGAGUCUGCUCUUGGGUCCCUAGGCAUGAGGACAAGCUUUUCCUGUACUCAAUGCUCAUCUCUCAGUUGUGCCCACAUUGGUACACAUUACUUGCUUUCAACUGCUGCUGCUGCUGUUUCCUAAUUCAAUAAAGAUAUGGCUGGCUCAGCAGAGAGCUGUCAUCCA